CAGAAAAUAGUUUAAAAAAAAUAAUAAUUUUGGAGAUUAUUGAUGAAUAAUUAGUGUAUUUUUUUCUGA
rnacentral:tRNA from 1 species